rnacentral:rRNA from 1 species
CCUACGGAGGCAGCAGUGAGGAAUAUUGGUCAAUGGGAGAGAUCCUGAACCAGCCAAGCCGCGUGAGGGAAGACGGCCCUAUGGGUUGUAAACCUCUUUUUUCGGAGAACAAAACCCGGGACGUUUCCCGGACUGCGUGUAUCCGAAGAAAAAGCAUCGGCUAACUCCGUGCCAGCAGCCGCGGUAAUACGGAGGAUGCGAGCGUUAUCCGGAUUUUUUGGGUUUAAAGGGUGCGUAGGCGGUCCGUUAAGUCAGCGGUAAAAUUGCGGGGCGCAACCCCGUCGAGCCGUUGAAACUGGCAGACUUGAGUUGGCGAGAAGUACGCGGAAUGCGCGGUGUAGCGGUGAAAUGCAUAGAUAUCGCGCAGAACUCCGAUUGCGAAGGCAGCGUGCCGGCGCCAGACUGACGCUGAGGCACGAAAGCGUGGGGAUCGAACAGGAUUAGAUACCCUAGUAGUC